rnacentral:piRNA from 1 species
UGCAGCUUCCAAGUCUCCAGCCGGCUC